rnacentral:rRNA from 1 species
CAGUCGCCACGGUAAUACGAAGGGGGCUAGCGUUGCUCGGAAUGACUGGGCGUAAAGGGCGCGUAGGCGGUUUUGACGGUCAGAUGUGAAAUUCCUGGGCUUAACCUGGGGGCUGCAUUUGAGACGUCAAGACUAGAGUGUGAGAGAGGGUUGUGGAAUUCCCAGUGUAGAGGUGAAAUUCGUAGAUAUUGGGAAGAACUCCGGUGGCGAAGGCGGCAACCUGGCUCAUUACUGACGCUGAGGCGCGAAAGCGUGGGGAGCAAACAGGAUUAGAUACCCGCGUAGUCCCUGUCUCUUAUAC